AUUGAACGCUGGCGGAAUGCUUUACACAUGCAAGUCGAACGGUAGAGGGGGGCAACCCCCUUGAGAGUGGCGAACGGGUGAGUAAUAUAUCGGAACGUGCCCAGUCGUGGGGGAUAACGUAGCGAAAGUUACGCUAAUACCGCAUACGAUCUAAGGAUGAAAGCGGGGGGAUCGCAAGACCUCGCGCGAUUGGAGCGGCCGAUAUCAGAUUAGGUAGUUGGUGAGGUAAAGGCUCACCAAGCCAACGAUCUGUAGCUGGUCUGAGAGGACGACCAGCCACACUGGAACUGAGACACGGUCCAGACUCCUACGGGAGGCAGCAGUGGGGAAUUUUUGGACAAUGGACGCAAGUCUGAUCCAGCCACUUCCGCGUGCAGGAUGAAGGCCCGUCGGGUUGUAAACUGUCUUUUGUACGGAAACGUAAAGGUUACUAUUAAUACUAGGAGCUCAUGACGGUACCGUAAGAAUAAGC
rnacentral:rRNA from 1 species